rnacentral:rRNA from 1 species
GAUGAACGCUGGCGGCGUGCCUAAUACAUGCAAGUCGAGCGAACGGACUAGAAGCUUGCUUCUCUGAUGUUAGCGGCGGACGGGUGAGUAACACGUGGAUAACCUACCUAUAAGACUGGGAUAACUUCGGGAAACCGGAGCUAAUACCGGAUAAUAUUUUGAACCGCAUGGUUCAAAAGUAAAAGACGGUCUUGCUGUCACUUAUAGAUGGAUCCGCGCUGCAUUAGCUAGUUGGUAAGGUAACGGCUUACCAAGGCAACGAUGCAUAGCCGACCUGAGAGGGUGAUCGGCCACACUGGAACUGAGACACGGUCCAGACUCCUACGGGAGGCAGCAGUAGGGAAUCUUCCGCAAUGGGCGAAAGCCUGACGGAGCAACGCCGCGUGAGUGAUGAAGGUCUUCGGAUCGUAAAACUCUGUUAUUAGGGAAGAACAUAUGUGUAAGUAACUGUGCACAUCUUGACGGUACCUAAUCAGAAAGCCACGGCUAACUACGUG